CUAAGUCUUUCGCUCCUAUCUGACG
rnacentral:piRNA from 1 species